AAGGAAGGACAUUCCCAAGAGAUGCUCUAUGUAGUCCUCAGCAAGCUAUGCAGCAGAGAAUGUGAUGGAUGGCUCGAUGAAACCAAGAGCAAUCCAUUGGUGAAUCAAAUUGUAUUUUGUGAUAUUGCCACCUUUUGGAAAGAUGGCACAAUAGGCAAAGCACAUCCUCAAAUAAGAUUGCAUGUUGUAGUAGUUUAACUUCAAGGAUGGAAGCACCAAGUGAUGUGGUAAAGAUGCUUCUUCAGAGGAACAUUCGUUCCAUAUUUCACUGUUGUUCAGUGCUAGCCAUCUGUCAACUGCUUUGGAAUACAAAGUGUACCCAAGUGCUCGAGCUGCUAAGGGCAUACCUCCACACUUGGUUGCAAUCUCUUGCCCUAUAACCUCCACCUGCUGUUUAUCACCUCUACCUUCAAAGGCACUGUAUAUUUUAAUGAUAGCCCAACAUAUGUCAUCGUUCAAUGGUUCUAGCUUGUAUGGUUUCACUGUGCAAAUUCUUUUGGCAAUUUCUUCUGUGCGUGUGGUAACUAUGACAUCCACCUCACUGCCCUUCUUGCCAACAUUUAACAUAAUCUUCAAAUUGUCCAGCUUAAAUUGGUCGCUCUCCCAUAUGUUAUCUAAAACAAU
rnacentral:sRNA from 1 species